UGUGGCUCAGUGGUAGAGCUCUUGCCUAGCAAGCAGAGGUUUCUGGGUUCAAUCCUCAGUA
rnacentral:tRNA from 1 species